rnacentral:rRNA from 1 species
AUUGAACGCUGGCGGCAGGCCUAACACAUGCAAGUCGAGCGGCAGCGGGACCUUCGGGUUGCCGGCGAGCGGCGGACGGGUGAGUAAUGCCUAGGAAUCUGCCUGCUAGUGGGGGAUAACGCGGGGAAACUCGCGCUAAUACCGCAUACGUCCUACGGGAGAAAGCGGGGGCUCUUCGGACCUCGCGUUAACAGAUGAGCCUGGGUCGGAUUAGCUAGUUGGUGGGGUAAUGGCCCACCAAGGCGACGAUCCGUAACUGGUCUGAGAGGAUGAUCAGUCACACUGGAACUGAGACACGGUCCAGACUCCUACGGGAGGCAGCAGUGGGGAAUAUUGGACAAUGGGCGAAAGCCUGAUCCAGCCAUGCCGCGUGUGUGAAGAAGGUCUUCGGAUUGUAAAGCACCUUAAGUCGGGAGGAAGGGCUGUAGGCUAAUACCUUGCAGUUUUGACGUUACCGACAGAAUAAGCACCGGCUAACUUCGUGCCAGCAGCCGCGGUAACAC